AAGAGUUGAAGACUCACUAAAGUGAGAAGCAGACUCACUCAAAAAAUUGGUGUAUUCAUUCCAAAACAGAUGAGGACUCACAAUAAAAGUAGUUUAAGACUCACUAAGAGCGGAUAGGGAGUCACUUAUCGUCACCUGUCCAUCCCUGAUCUUCUCACAGCAGCUUCUGUGGGCAAGAUGAGUCUGAAGAAUGAAGAUGAAGGAAAGGAGUUGGAGAUUCCUGAGGCUGAAGAAGAUGCCACAGAAGAAGUCCAAGCUCCAUUAGAUGCUCCUGCAGCUCUGGAGGAGACCCAGACUGAAGAGCAUCAGGCUUUGGUAGCUGACGCUGCACCUGAGGAGGUCCCCAUCACAGAAGAAGCUGUGGAGCAAACAUCAGCUCAAGCUCUGACAGAGGACACCACUGAAGGUCCGGCCCUCACUCUGCUGCUGGCAGACAUGAGUCAUGGUCCAGAUGAGGAACUGCAGUCUUCAUCACCAUCAAGGGAAGACUCCUGUCACUGCAGCAAACAUCCUACAGCUGGAGACGAGGAGGUGGUGGUGGGGGUGGUGGGGGCAUCCCCUGCUGCUUUGGGAGAAGAAACCAUCGCUGAGGGAACAGAAGAUGUAGCAGAAGAAGUGGUGCAGGUGGAGACGUCACAAGGAGCAGAGACUCUGGCGGUGGUGACAUCACAGUAAUGAUAUGACGGACAGCCUGCCUUCAUAUCACACGUCAAUCAAAUAAUUAACAUUAUAGAUUAUUGCAGCUCAGAAAACCCAAAGUCCUGUGGGUUUUUGUUAAUAAUAACUCCACGUUUCUUGUGUUUGGUCAUAAAUCCUAACGUACACCAGAAUAAUAGAAGCUGGGUUACUGUACAUAUUAUUAUUUAUUGGCACAUGUUAGCUAACCUUCUUAUAUACAUGAGAAAUGUAUUAUUUAUAAUAUAUUUAUCACAUAUUUCAAGCUGGUACAUAUUAUUAAUGCAGCCCAUGUAAAGUGUUUUUGUUUGAUAAAUAGAUUACUACUAAUAAUAAUAAUAAUCUAAUAUCUUCCGUUGAGCCAUUAGAAUGCAGAUAUCUUCUGAUUUUAAUGUAUAAAAUAACUGAAAACAUAAAUGUUUAUAAAAUUAAACACAAAUUGCUCCAUAGAUGCGUGCACACACACAGUGCAGUAUAUUUCUUUACAAAUCCAUUUAAAAGAGGAGCAUAAAUGAAGUUUUUGAUCGCUGUGAACUGUGCACAUGAAUGUGUUUUGUUUUGUGCAUGUGACAAACAGGUGAUAGCCUUUAUGUACGUCUAUAUACCUGUAUAUCCUGUGCUCGUUGUUAUUAUCUGUAUGAAAAGUUCAAAUGUAGUUUGUUGAUGUACAAAUGUGAAAAGAAUUUGCACAUAUUUUAAAUAAAGGAAUGUAUUUAAGAGUUAAGCUGUGUCGU
rnacentral:lncRNA from 1 species